GACGAACGCUGGCGGCGUGCUUAACACAUGCAAGUCGAACGCUGAAGCUCAGCUUUUGUUGGGUGGAUGAGUGGCGAACGGGUGAGUAACACGUGAGUAACCUGCCUCCUUCUUUGUGAUAACGCCCGGAAACGGGUGCUAAUACUGGAUAUUCACUGGUCUUCGCAUGGGGGUUGGUGUAAAGGGCUUUUCUGGUGUGGGAUGGGCUCGCGGCCUAUCAGCUUGUUGGUGGGGUGAUGGCCUACCAAGGCUUUGACGGGUAGCCGGCCUGAGAGGGUGACCGGUCACAUUGGGACUGAGAUACGGCCCAGACUCGUACGGGAGGCAGCAGUGGGCAAUAUUGCCCAAUGGGCGCAAGCCUGAUGCAGCGACGCCGAGUGAGGGAUGGAGGCCUUAGGGUUGUGAACCUCUUUCGCUCAUGGUGAAGCAGCAACAAUGGUUGUGGUGAGGGUAGUGGGUAAAGAAGCGCCGGCUAACUACGUG
rnacentral:rRNA from 1 species